AUUGAACGCUGGCGGCAUGCCUUACACAUGCAAGUCGAACGGCAGCACGGGGGCAACCCUGGUGGCGAGUGGCGAACGGGUGAGUAACAUAUCGGAACAUACCCUAGAGUGGGGGAUAACGUAGCGAAAGUUACGCUAAUACCGCAUACGAUCUAAGGAUGAAAGUGGGGGAUCUUCGGACCUCAUGCUCAUGGAGUGGCCGAUAUCUGAUUAGCUAGUUGGUGAGGUAAAGGCUCACCAAGGCGACGAUCAGUAGCUGGUUUGAGAGAACGACCAGCCACACUGGAACUGAGACACGGUCCAGACUCCUACGGAGGCAGCAGUGGGGAAUUUUGGACAAUGGGGGCAACCCUGAUCCAGCAAUGCCGCGUGUGGUGAAGAAGGCCUUCGGGUUGU
rnacentral:rRNA from 1 species